rnacentral:rRNA from 1 species
AGGAUGAGACUGCGUCUGAUUAGGUAGUUGGUGGGGUAACGGCCCACCAAGCCCAUCAUCAGUACGGGUUGUGGGAGCAAGAUCCCGGAGAUGGAUUCUGAGACAUGAAUCCAGGCCCUACGGGGCGCAGCAGGCGCGCAAACUUUACAAUGCGAGCAAUCGUGAUAAGGAAACCCUGAGUGCCUGUUGAUGCAGGCUGUUCAUUAGUUUAAAUUGCUAGUGAAGAAAGGGCAGGGCAAGACCGGUGCCAGCCGCCGCGGUAAUACCGGCUGCUCGAGUGAUGGCCACUAUUACCGGGUUUAAAGCGUCCGUAGCUUGAUUGUUAGGUCUCUUGGGAAAUCUUCAGGCUUAACCUUAAGGCGUCUAAGAGAUACCGGCAAUCUUGGGACUGGGAGAGGUAAACCGUACUUCGGGGGUAGGAGUGAAAUCUUGUAAUCCUCGAGGGACGACCUAUGGCGAAGGCAGUUUACCAGAACAGCUUCGACAGUGAGGGACGAAAGCUGGGGGAGCAAACGGGAUUAGAUACCCCGGUAGUCCCAGCCGUAAACAAUGUGCGUUAGGUGUAUCGGCAACCACGCGUUACUGAUGCGCCGCAGAGAAAUCGUGAAACGCACCACCUGGGAAGUAUGGUCGCAAGGCUGAAACUUAAAGGAAUUGGCGGGGGAGCACCACAACAGGUGGAGCCUGCGGUUUAAUUGGAUUCAACGCCGGACAUCUCACCGGGUAAGACAGCUGAAUGAUUGUCAAUCU